rnacentral:misc_RNA from 1 species
GUCGGGACGUUUUAUGACAGGCUCAGCGAGGGGAGGAGCGGGGCGGGCAGACGGCAGCAGCCCAAUUCAGGCUACGGAACGGUUUCCUGCGUACACCUGGAUCCACUCGCCAGCACUCAGCUACGCCGAGCCGUGCUCCACCGUCUUGUCUCCGCAGUUGGUGAGUGAGUUUGCUGGUUCUUCAUCGCCCGAGACAUGGACGGUCUACCGGACGAGCUUUUCCAGUGGAUCCUGUCGUACGUACCCUCGGCUCAGCUGUUGCCGCUCCGGUUGGUGUGCCGACGAUGGAGCCACGCCAUACUGGAGAAGGCUGUGUGGCAGCACCGCGAUCUGUGGGGGACAAAUGAUGAUGUUGGUGAUGAUUAUGAAGGGUUUUUCCCACGCAAGCAUUCGAAUGUCAACACGGGGCUUAUACGCACCAUCGUUCGACUUGUGCCAGCGGUUGGCCGCGUCUACCUGUACCUGAAGGCCGGCAGUACGGCAGGGGUGGCUGCGUUAGAAGCACUGGCCCGAGGAACCUG